CAUUCUCUGAGAAUUUUGGUCCAAUAGAUAAAGAAACUGAAGACGAACCACGUGCAAGUAACUGGGUUGUAAGAAAUUGGGCACCUUGGGAAGAGAUUCUCUUGCCUGAAGCUGAUUUUGCUAGAAGAAUUUCAAAUGAAGGUGAAGAAGUAGCAUUCACAUCGCAUGGAACAAUUGAAGUUUAUCGAAUGUUAAAACAAAAACAAGAUUGGAAUAAUUUGAGAUUAGAGGAAAGUGGGUUUACUGAGGAUGAGUAUUUAGCUAAACAAUUUGAGAUUAGAGGUGAGAAUUUAGAGCCUUUGGAAACUGAUUGCUGAUAGGCAGCUUUUGGAGAUAUUCUAGGCAGGACAGUGUGUAAGUACUUGCCACCUUAUCAACUACUUUGUCUCAAAGCUCGAACAUUUUGAUAGAAGAAUAGCAGAAAAUAGUUCUAGCUAGGGUAUAAGGUGGAUCAUACACUUGGGGAAGGUCCUGCACUGAGUGGCCGGUGAGAAGGAAACUACUAGCUGACUGAAAAAAUGUAAAGCUGAAGAUGGUUUGGCUGGUUAAGCAGAAGAAAACAAAGAUGAAUAAACUUCACAAAACCAAAAGACUUUUUCCUAGCACUAAGGAUGUUCGUUUCAGUACUUUGUUAAGAGGGUGUAACAGAUUGGAGCACUAUAGAUGUCGCCCAAUAAUCGCCACGUUUGAAAGUUUACUUGAAGGAUCUACUUAAGGAUUGCAUACUCUCGGUGAUACCCAUUUUAGUGGCUUUCAGUACGGUACUCCUGUGAAGUAUCCGAGCUUGUGGCGUUGAGGUGCUGGAUUUGAUGUGGGGAAGCAGAUUUAGGAGUAUGAAUUCCUUAAGUUCCUCCAGAAGGAAGAACCUUGCUAGACAAUCAAGAACUGAUAGUUCAGCAGAUAACCGAGAAGGUCUGAGAAAUAGUCGAAGUGGGGAUUUUUCCUCUGAUGUUGAGAUUGUGCAAUCUCAUGGCAGCAAUCUCUGCAGAAGCGCAAGAGUUAAGGAAGCAGGACAGCGGAGGCUGUGAGUCUUAUUGACCCAAUGAUGGACUUCCGGUUCAGUUUGAAGAUCUCUUCCUUACCUGUUCAGGGAAGGUUGAUUCUUGACCAUCAUAUCAUGAUAGGAGCCGUAUCUGGCCUGUUGGUUACAGAUAUAGUUGGCAUGAUAAGGUAACCGGAUCUCUUUUUAUACUGGAUCGGCGGAAGCUCUGGACCAAUCUUCAAGGUCAGACUAUGCCUUGCCUCUGCAAUCAGUCAUACCUGAUGCAUCAAAUAGUCCUACUGAGACAAAUUGAAUUCUUGGUCAGUCCGAAGCUGAAAUCUAAGUAGAAAGUGAAUUUGUCAUUUUGUCAGAAGCUAGUGAUUUCGAGGACGCCAACAUUCAGGAUGAAGUUGUUGGAUUUUUUGCUGAAGGAAGGUCAUCAUCUUCAGUGUUGGGUAAGGUCUCUGCGAUGUUUGUUGGUGUAUAAAAGUAAGUCAAACAAGACUCUGGCAAACACAUUCACAGGAAUCAAGUAAACAGCUAAAAUUUAGACAAAAAUCAAUGAAAUGUGGAUUCCCAGGGUGGUAAUCUUUUAAGAAUUCUUGCAGUGUUCAGUUCUAUCGUACCCAUGAGUCAGAUGGUAAUCUGUUACAGAUGCCAAGGACAGGAAUGGUAUUGGUUCCCUGUCCUCUUUUUAGGUUGCCUCAAUAAUAAAUGACCGUGUCUAAAUAGAGAGUCUGCCUUAGCCAAAUCCAUGCAGCUAAGCACGUGUCACAACGAAACGGAGAAAACUAGGUUAACAAAUUUAUAGUUUGGGGGGUCUUUCUGUUUAAAUAGUACUGCUGCAUUUGGUACAUUGGUUAUUGAGUUUUAAAAUGAUUACAAGAGUGAAUUUUCUUCCUAGGUAUAAGUAUUUUUUAUGCAUUUGAUUGGAAGAAAAAUGGAUUUCAUUUGUGGGAUUUGAGUAGUAAUUUAUACACGGUGUCUGCACUAAUAAGUUUUAGUGUACUAUAAGCUACGGUUGCGACUCAGUGAAAACUUAUUUUAGCAGAAAAUGUUAAUGUAUUUACUGGAUUCGUAAUCGUAAUGUUUCGAAUAUGGUUAGACAAUUGUGGUGGCUAAUUUAAUCUCAACCUUUUUAACUUACAGCAUCGGCUCUUUUUUAAGUUUGAUAUUCUUAUUUCAAAUAUUUUUGGUAGAAGACUGUAUACCUAAAUUACUGUGUGUACUCAAUUGCUAUGUGAACUUGCCAACUUGGGUUGUGUACCGUGUGCUAAAUUGUGCAUCGAUCUCGAUUAAUCUUGCUCAUUUUCUGUGUACUUAAGUGUAGUGCGUUUUUACUAUGGUUUAUGCCUAAUAUCCUUGCCAUCCCUUUUAGUUUAUAUUCAAGUAAUACCAAAUUGUAUCACUCAUCGGCUAAACUAGUGUUACUGUGCGUACUGCAUGAGCAAUGAUGGCGUUUCCAUGAGUGAGCUAAUUUAUUAACACUAUUUGGUUAUUUAGAGAUGUUAAGUUUGAAAUGAUCAUCUAUGGUCUCAAGGUAAAUAAUGCCCUCAACUAAGUGUUAGUCUGUAUUUAAUUUCAAGUUAGCUAGUCCAUGAAUUAUCGAGACACAUAUAUAUUCUUCUCUUAGGGUAGCUUUAGAGUUCAGAAGGAAUGUUCCGUUAGACAGAAAUGGGUAGAUAAAUUGGUACUGCUAAGUUAAGUACUAGAUUAUGAAUUUGGACAUCAUUAGUGGUAUUUGUGGAUCGAUAAUGCUUGUAUGAAAGUGAGCCAACUCGUCAUUAGUGGGAAAGACUGUUGGACUUACAGCAUACUGUCCUUUGCACUUACGUUAAAAAUUCUGCAUUAGCAUGCUGCUGUGGUACCUCAUCUCUAUAAACUGUCUGUUUGUGGGAAUUGUAUUCGAGUUCUUUUAAAUGUUUUAAUAAGAAAAUGUCUCCAAGUGUUGUUAUUCAUUUGCUUUUGCUGGUAUCCAGUAUUAAGAACUGGUGAACAUUUUCUAGGGCCUUGUCGUGGCAACGACAAGUGAUCUAAUAUUCUUUGCUUCCAUCUGAUUGUCAUAAUUUGUUGAUAGGUGAAGCCUGUGAUUUUGCUUUCUGGCUUGAUGUGCUAUUUUCUGGACUUGUACCUUGGAGAUCUUAGAUCUCAUUUAUUUUCAUGUCUGCUAGUCUUGGUUACCUUGUGCGCUGACUUAGCAUCUUGGCUGCAUAAAUUGCGCUUGUUGAACAACAAAUAAAAAUGAUUGAUGUAGACAUGGCUAUCCUUGUAGUUAGGGUAGUAUUUCGGAAGAAAAGGCGGAGAUCUCUGUUUUAGUACAAAGGAGUAGUAAUAGUAAUGGUUCCAAGCAGUAGCGUUCAUAUCUCACAGCGCCAAAGUAAGAUAAGGGUGGUUCACUGGUACUUAUUUGGUUUGCUUACAAAUAGUUUAGAAGUGAGUGCUAAAAUUUGUGCAAGAUAUUGAGAAAAGAGUAUUGUUGUGUUUUUGGCCUCAUCUUGAGAUCAUUGUUAUGAAGCAGGAAUUAUAAUAUCUGUAUCUGUAGCUGGUAGCUAAUUCUAGUUGGUUGGAUCAGCUAAGGACUACACAUCUGGAACUACAGUAAGACAGAAUUGCACAUGGCCAUAACCUGUCCAGUUCUGUAUUUUAUUUUCAAUACUUAAUUUAAACUUCAGUGAUAAGAUUUAAUGGCAUGACAUUUGAUUAUUCUUGCUGUUGCGUGAGACUUGAUUUUGCUCUAGCUAAUUGGGUGCUGCGAUAUCUCAUCUUUAUGAUACUGUUAGUGACGUCGCGAGUUGGGGAUAGUUGUUGCUAUGCAAUUCAUACUAUCCGCUGUUAGAUAUAGUUGCUACUAGAGGUAGUUCAUACUAUCUAAAUGAAUGAGAUGGACCGCGGUCGUGUUUAAUCCCUUCGAGCCACGGAGCAGGGUACAGAGGCAGCCGCUUUGCGGUUCAGUACAAUUCUGCAAGGUUGUUCAUAUCGUCGGAAAGGGGUUGGUUACUGCUUGGCAGUUCAUACCAUUUAUUCGGAGAUGAUUGCAACCUUCGCAAGUACAUAUCGUUGGUUAUAGGUAGUUUCAGUACUAUCUCUUCAUACUACAUAGUAAAGAAAUGAUUGUUGCCUCUCCUAGAUGAUUAUGAGGUAAUUCAUAUCAUCUGUCUCGACUUGUAAGUUAAGCAAUGAGGGGAUUCAUAUCAUCUGAGAAUAAAGGAUGGUUGCUGUUUAUGAUGACAGUUCAUACGGUCGAUAUGGAAAUGAUUACCAACUCUUUUGAGUAGUUCAUAUCAUUUGAAAAAGAUGUUCUGUUGAGCUUGAGUGUGUAUUGUGAAUUGCCAGGCCCAACUGGGGCUCCCACCUACGGGUGGCUACCCGGAAGACCAUUGGCAACCGGCCAAUGGUGGCUGGUACCCGACUAGUCCGGCAAGAGAUAUUUUAUCCUCACAGUAAAACGAUGGGAGUAUAUAAGCAAUGUUUUCCUGCUUAUAAAGCAGUCUGGGAUAAAUCAGUGAACAUUUUCCUGGGAAAAUCAAAUUGGUCAGAGUCAUUUGGAAAUCUGGUUUCUCGAGUGGCGUUUCAGAGAAUUGGAGCUUUCCAAGCGGGACGUAACCCGACCGGUUGGAAGCAAAAAAGUUCUGGUCCGCCGCACCAAAUCUUAUGAUCUGUCUGGUCCCAGGCACAUAAGCUUGAGAUGAUGUGCAAAGGAGUGGAGAAAUGGUUGAACCAGGAUAAAUUUGGACUCGAUAUGUAAUUUAUGCAGGAAAUUAUUGAAGAGCUUCCUGGGUCCGAUACAUGUUCAGAAUACGAGUUCUUAACUAGACAAAAUGACUACUCCAACUUCAUGCUAAAAGAAAGGGUAUAUUUCAAGGAAUUCACUACGAAGAAGCUGCAGAUGGUAUAUUUAAAAAAUGUAAAAGGCUUAAGCUGUGUAAGACCUUGGAUUCAGAAGACAUUUUCCUAAUGGCAAGCUAUGGAGCUCAAAGGUAUCAAUACAGCUGGCUGGUGUGUUUUACAGGUAUUUGUAUUUCGGAUCUCAAGUAUCUAAGUGGCAGAGGCUGUACUAUUUGGAUGUAUACCCUGUCUGCUAGGAUUCUUUAUCUUACCCCUCUUUCUGGUUUUGUUUUAUACUUUUUCCUUAUCAUCUUCUUUUUUCCUUUUUAUCUUCUUUUUUUGUUCUGUUUUUUGUUUUGUUUUUUCAGUUUUAAGGUGUAUGAGCUACUUUGGCGUUUCAAUGACGUCUUGGCCCUGAAGCAAACCUUAUCUUUUGAGGAGCUCGAAGGAGAUAUAAAUCCCUUGUUUCAUGAUUCAUCUUUUAUGGAGAAACUUGAGAAGGAAAAUCUGGAGAAUAGAGACCUCAUUUUGCAUCGUAGUCACGGUGUGGUUGGCCAUAAUGUAACCCCAAGCGAUAAACCAAAUUCUAUAGUUUUACGGAAUCUUUCACCAAAGCUCAUCAAAGUGGAUACAGCGUCUGAAAAAGAAGCUGUACAAGCUAAACUAGCUUCUCAUACUUAAUAUAGGUGCACAGGGGUGGCUUUGACUAAGGUACAUAGAUCUUUGCUGAAUUUACUGACAGACAAAAGUUGCUGCCCUUGUCGAUCCCAACUUUGAUGCUGGAGAGUCAAAAUCGAGGGGAGGGAGAAGGAAAGACGCAGACACAUUGUCAAGUUCAAGAUAGUUGAAGAUUGAUAUGCUCCCAGUUAAUGAGUUAACUUGGCCUGAAUUUGCCGGUAGAUACAUUCUGCUUAUGUAUGUAAAGCAACCUGGAUUCUUCAGAAGUUUCAUCUUGUGAGAAUAUAAAGGUGUUCCAUUGCUUACAAGGUGAUGGUGGGAUGGUUCGCGACUCAAUAGCUGGAGUGGGUGGAAUUGAAGCAGAUGGCCUGAGGCUGGGUCCCUGAAGAGAGAAAAUGAUAUUUGGUCAAUGGAAUAUAUUGAUGAAGUUGAUGCCGCUGAAACAAUUGUUACUGCAGCAAUGCGAUUCCAGAGUGGGCAAAAGUCUUGGAACCUGCAAGAAAGCUACCCACUAAUGUUGAAACCAGGAUUAGGAAAUGUGUCUACGAGGCAUUGGAUAAAGGUCCACCCGAGUGGGUGAAAAAGAUAUUGCGACAUUCUAUUAGUAAGGAAGUAUACAAGGUGCAUCAGGGCCUACAAAGGUUUGGCACCACAUACGCACUGCUUAUGGAGACCGGCCAGAUUUGAUGCUUUUAGCUGAGCAAUAAUCUGGAGAUUUUGGAUCUCUGUAUGAAAAAGAAGUGUGAUUAUUUUCCGUGGAUCAAUCUCUCAAUGCAGUUGUACAUCCAUUUCCUGUGUUACCUUGUAAAUUUACUUUAUGGCAGAUUCUUCCAAACAGGUGCUUGAUCCUGUACAGAAAAUUAAGGAGCAUGCUAAUCCCUAAUGC